UGUCACUUCAGUCUCCCCAUCACUGUCUUCCCUGUCCUCCUGAGUGUGGACUGAGCCCCAGGUGGACACGAGCCCUGGCUGGGCGUGCGGGGAGGAAUGCGGUCACUCUGAGCCGGUCAUCAGGGCUGAGGUUGACCUCCAUACCUGCCUUCUGCCUGGAAACCACUGCAGUCAGGAAGGUGAAGGUCUGUGACGAGGCAGCCCCUGGUGGGAAAGGACGACGGCCUGAACAGCCUCAGGCCGCCCACCCCAGGCUCCCCUGUCCCCUGACGGCCACCUCCCAGUCCCUGGGCCUCUGAGGGCUCACCUGAGACCUACUCGCCCACGGGGAGCACCCCCUCUCUUGCAACGUCUAUGGCUGCUUGAGACCACGAGCCACCUCUUCCGCGGGACUGGCCUUGGCCUUGAGCUCUGAUG
ensembl:lncRNA